rnacentral:rRNA from 1 species
AGAGUUUGAUCCUGGCUCAGGACGAACGCUGGCGGCGUGCUUAACACAUGCAAGUCGAACGAUGAUGCCCAGCUUGCUGGGUGGAUUAGUGGCGAACGGGUGAGUAACACGUGAGUAACCUGCCCCUGACUCUGGGAUAAGCGUUGGAAACGACGUCUAAUACUGGAUAUGAUCACUGGCCGCAUGGUCUGGUGGUGGAAAGAUUUUUUGGUUGGGGAUGGACUCGCGGCCUAUCAGCUUGUUGGUGAGGUAAUGGCUCACCAAGGCGACGACGGGUAGCCGGCCUGAGAGGGUGACCGGCCACACUGGGACUGAGACACGGCCCAGGCUCCUACGGGAGGCAGCAGUGGGGAAUAUUGCACAAUGGGCGAAAGCCUGAUGCAGCAACGCCGCGUGAGGGAUGACGGCCUUCGGGUUGUAAACCUCUUUUAGUAGGGAAGAAGCGAAAGUGACGGUACCUGCAGAAAAAGCACCGGCUAACUACGUG